UACGAAGGGGGCUAGCGUUGCUCGGAAUCACUGGGCGUAAAGCGCACGUAGGCGGAUUGCUAAGUCAGGGGUGAAAUCCUGGAGCUCAACUCCAGAACUGCCUUUGAUACUGGCGGUCUCGAGUCCGGGAGAGGUGAGUGGAACUGCGAGUGUAGAGGUGAAAUUCGUAGAUAUUCGCAAGAACACCAGUGGCGAAGGCGGCUCACUGGCCCGAUACUGACGCUAAGGCACGAAAGCGUGGGGAGCAAACAGG
rnacentral:rRNA from 1 species